rnacentral:rRNA from 1 species
GCCAGCCAGCAGCGCGGUCCGUAUAUCGUAGGUGGCUAGCAAUUCUGACUGGACUAGCGUCAGAGAUAGCGUACGUAGCUUAGUCAAGGACUAGUGAACCUGUGGGGUGUACCCCUCUCCCCGCGCGUAUAUUCAACUACACACACUCGGAGUGUAGAGUAACUGCAGUUCUAGGUAGAGUGGAAAUCCGUAGGAUAUUAGAAGGAACACCCACUGGGCGUAGGCAGGCUACUGGACCAUCUUCUGUCACUAAGGCACGAAAGCGUGGGGAGCGGAGCCGGAUUAGAUACCCGGGUAGUCUACGCCGUAAACGAUGGAUACUAGCUGUUGGAGGUAUCGACCCCUCCAGUAGCGAAGCUAACGCGUUAAGUAUCCCGCCUGUGGAGUACGGUCGCAAGACUAAAACAUAAAGGAAUUGACGGGGAUCAGCACAAGCGGUGGAUUAUGUUCUUUAAUUCGAUGAUAACCGAUGAACCUUACCAGGGUUUGACAUCCAGGAAAGCACUACGAAAGUAGAGUGUGCCUUUUGGAAUCCUGUGACAGGUGUUGCAUGGCCGUCGUCAGCUCGUGUCGUGAGAUGUUUGGUUAAGUCCAUCAACGAGCGCAACCCUUGUGAAUAGUUGUAUUUUUUUAUUCAGACUGCUCUAGUAAUAGGGAGGAAGGAGGGGAUGAUGUCAGGUCAGUAUUACCCUUACACCCUGGGCUAGAAACAUAAUACAAUGGCCGGUACAAUGCGCAGCGAAGCAGCAAUGUGGAGCAAAUCGCAUCAAAGCCGGUCCCAGUUCGGAUAAGAGGCUGAAACUCGCCUCUUUGAAGCCGGAAUCGCUAGUAAUCGCAAAUCAGCAAGUUGCGGUGAAUACGUCACUGAUCUUGUACACACCGCCCGUCAAACCACGAAAGUGACCAACACCCGAAGUCCGAUUCGUCGGCCUAAGGUGGGGGGCAUGAUUGGGGUUAAGUCGUAACAAGGUAACC